GACGAACGCUGGCGGCGUGCUUAACACAUGCAAGUCGAACGGAAAGGCCCUGCUUUUGUGGGGUGCUCGAGUGGCGAACGGGUGAGUAACACGUGAGUAACCUGCCCUUGACUUUGGGAUAACUUCAGGAAACUGGGGCUAAUACCGGAUAGGAGCUCCUGCUGCAUGGUGGGGGUUGGAAAGUUUCGGCGGUUGGGGAUGGACUCGCGGCUUAUCAGCUUGUUGGUGGGGUAGUGGCUUACCAAGGCUUUGACGGGUAGCCGGCCUGAGAGGUUGACCGGCCACAUUGGGACUGCGGUACGGCCCAGACUCCUACGGGAGGCAGCAGUGGGGAAUAUUGCACAAUGGGCGGAAGCCUGAUGCAGCAACGCCGCGUGCGGGAUGACGGCCUUCGGGUUGUAAACCGCUUUCGCCUGUGACGAAGCGUGAGUGACGGUAAUGGGUAAAGAAGCACCGGCUAACUACGUG
rnacentral:rRNA from 1 species